ensembl:lncRNA
AGACAAGAAACCAACUUUGUUUCACACAUUUAAGCUAUCCCCAUUGCAAAUUAAGAAACGUUUAGCAAUUUUACAUUGCAAUUUUGCUAAUUAUCGUUAUUAGUUUAUAUUAACAACUAGGCUGUAUAUUUUGAACCAUUCGAGCUACAGAUACGAAACCAACUGUGUUAAUUUCCUGAGUCCCGGAGAAACAUAAAAUACGGAUAAAGCAGUUGUACACUGUACCCUUUGAGAGGAAGGGAGAACGUGUGAAAGAACUCCGAUAUCAAUACGUCCAGAGGGCAAUGGAGAUGGAAGCCAGGCAAACUUCUCAUCAAUUCAUCUUUGUGGAUGAAGCUGAAUUCAACCUGGCAAAAACACACCGCAGGGGGUGAAAUGUGAUUGUUUAGAGAGCCACCAUGGAUGUCCCAGGCCAGAGGGGAGCGAACAUCACAAUGUGUGCAGCAUUGUCCAAUGAAGAUGUCCUUAUUGGAUGCCAUGAAUUCAGGGUGUAGAGAGAUUUCUCCUCAAGACUGCCAGGGUUGGAUUAGACAUUCCAGAAGAUAUUUCCCAAGGUGCAUCGCCAGAGAAGACAUCAGAUGUGAUGUUGAUGAGAACUUGUGGUCAAAUGCAGGUGAUAGGGUGAACUUGUGAUUGUACGUACUCUAGAUGUUGAUGUUUGUUUGUUGUGAUUGCAGCCCUGGAAUUAAGAGAAUUUGUUUUUUGUUUUUCAAAAAUAUAAUUUUCUAUGUGCAAAGAUAUGGAAAACAAAAUUGCUGCAUUUCUGAUUCAUUCUUGUUCCGUA